CAUUAAGAAACUUAAAUGCAAGUCAUGGUCUCUUAAACCAAAAAAUGGUAAAGCGAAUACCCUUAAUGG
rnacentral:tRNA from 1 species